rnacentral:rRNA from 1 species
AACGCGAAGAACCUUACCUACCCUUGACAUCCAUUGAAAUCUGCAGAGAUGCGGAAGUGCCGAAAGGAACAAUGAGACAGGUGCUGCAUGGCUGUCGUCAGCUCGUGUUGUGAGAUGUUGGGUUAAGUCCCGUAACGAGCGCAACCCUUAUCCUUAGUUGCCAACAUGUAAUGGUGGGGACUCUAAGGAGACUGCUGGUGAUGAACCGGAGGAAGGCGGGGACGACGUCAAGUCAUCAUGGCCUUUAUGGGUAGGGCUACACACGUGCUACAAUGGACGGUACAGAGGGCGGCGAACCCGCGAGGGGGAGCUAAUCCCAGAAAGCCGUUCGUAGUCCGGAUCGGAGUCUGCAACUCGACUCCGUGAAGUCGGAAUCGCUAGUAAUCGCGAAUCAGAAUGUCGCGGUGAAUACGUUCCCGGGCCUUGUACACACCGUAGAGAC